UCGUGUCGUGAGAUGUCGGUUAAGUCCGGCAACGAGCGCAACCCACACUUUCAGUUGCCAUCAUUCAGUUGGGCACUCUGGAAGAACUGCCGGUGAUAAGCCGGAGGAAGGUGUGGAUGACGUCAAGUCCUCAUGGCCCUUACGGUUGGGCUACACACGUGCUACAAUGGUGGUGACAGUGGGUUAAUCCCCAAAAGCCAUCUCAGUUCGGAUUGUCGUCUGCAACUCGACGGCAUGAAGUUGGAAUCGCUAGUAAUCGCGUAACAGCAUGACGCGGUGAAUACGUUCCCGGGCCUU
rnacentral:rRNA from 1 species